rnacentral:rRNA from 1 species
CAGUCGCCACGGUAAUACGAAGGGUGCAAGCGUUACUCGGAAUUACUGGGCGUAAAGCGUGCGUAGGUGGUGGUUUAAGUCCGUUGUGUAAGCCCUGGGCUCAACCUGGGAAUUGCAGUGGAUACUGGGUCACUAGAGUGUGGCAGAGGAUAGUGGAAUUUCCGGUGUAGCAGUGAAAUGCGUAGAGAUCGGAAGGAACAUCUGUGGCGAGGGCGACUAUCUGGGCCAACACUGACACUGAGGCACGAAAGCGUGGGGAGCAAACAGGAUUAGAUACCCCCGUAGUCCCUGUCUCUUAUAC